CAUACACAUUAUGUAGUGUAUAUUAUAUAGUAAUUCAUUUUCAUAUUCUCUGAUCCCCCAAAUCUUUACCAGCUAGUUUGUUAUCUGCUAUGGUAAAAUUACAAAUAGUUUAAUAAAUGCCUCUUUCUAAUAAAAACAUCCUCACUAAUUUACAUUGUAUGUAAUCAUUAUUUUCUUUUGAAAUAGCAGAAAUCUAUAUCAGGUGUACCAAUCACAAAUGCAUUCAGUUUCACCAGAAAAUGGAAAGAGAUGAGGCAGAAAAAUAGCAAGAAGUGGAUUGUAGAGUGAUACUCCACUAAAUGAACUCAAAUAUUGUUUUGUCGUUAUUAUUUAAUAUUGGAUUGAGCUUCAAAAAAAGAAAAAUGGGGGAAAAAACAUACAACAGAUUUCUACUAUUCAGUUUGCCUCAGUACCAUCUGUGAUUUUUUUCUAGAAAGAUUCUGUUAUGAAUUUUAAUAGUAUAAAUUUAGUUUAAAAUGACAAAAUAUUCACUUGCUUUUAAUUUUUAAAAUUCUAACAUCUUCCAUCUUCAAAAUUUGAAUUAUUUGACGUUAAUUCAGCCUACUAUAGAGCAUCAAGGCCCAGAUGAUCAUUCACUUUCCAGAUUAUUGCUGUUUAUUUUUCUUGCAUUUAAGUCAUUCUAUUUCUAUCAGUACUUAAUUGCUUUCUCAUUUAUCAAAUAAACAUUUGCUAAUAUGUAUCAGAGACUGUGGAAGGUGUUGAGCAUAUAAAGGAUUUUUAAUGUGAUCCCUCCUCUUAGGAAUCUCAGUACGGUAAAAAAAAAGAAAAAGAAAAAGAAAGAACGAAAGCAAAAGGGUGGGGUGGUGGGAGCUUUUACUCUUUUGCUUUUGUAUCUGUAAUGAAAGGGCUACUGGAACUAUACUAAUAAAAUUUGACCAUAAUUCAGAAAUUUAUUUUCUAUGCUUUGCUUCCAUCCUGUUUACUUUAUAUAAUUAAACAUUGGCUAUAAUAAACAUCUAAUUUCACACAGAAAGCUGAUGGAAUCUUCUAAACUCCUUAAAAAUAAAAUCAUGCAGUGUCCUCUCAAUCAAAUAUGAUGAUAAUUUAAUUUUAUUAUUUUGAAUGCAGAGUACGAUGCUGUGAGUGACAGGGCAAGUGGAAAACAUUUCUAUUUAAUACAGUGUUUAGCUAGGGAAUUCAGGUUACUGAUUGGCAUGUAAGUGACUAAAAGCUAUUUUCUGGGUUAAUAAUUUUAACAAAUAUUUAUCUGAUUCCAAGAGCCAUUUUACGUUCAGAC
rnacentral:lncRNA from 1 species